AUUGAACGCUGGCGGCAGGCCUAACACAUGCAAGUCGAGCGGAGCGGCGGACGGGUGCGUAAUGCCUAUAAAUCUGCCUGUUCGUGGGGUAUAACGUCCGGAAACGGGCGCUAAUACCGCAUACUAUCAGAUUAGCCUCGGUCGGAUUAGCUAGUUGGUGGGGUAAAGGCCUACCAAGGCGACGAUCCGUAACUGGUCUGAGAGGAUGAUCAGUCACACUGGAACGGAGACACGGUCCAGACUCCUACGGGAGGCAGCAGUGGGGAAUAUUGGACAAUGGGCGAAAGCCUGAUCCAGCCAUGCCGCGUGUGUGAAGAAGGCCUUCGGGUUGUAAAGUACUUUCAGCGGGGAGGCGUUACCCGCAGAAGAAGCACCGGCUAACUCCGUGCCAGCAGCCGCGGUAAUUC
rnacentral:rRNA from 1 species